rnacentral:rRNA from 1 species
CUACGGGCGGGGCAGCAGUGGGGAAUAUUGGACAAUGGGCGAAAGCCUGAUCCAGCCAUGCCGCGUGUGUGAAGAAGGCCUUCGGGUUGUAAAGCACUUUCAGUGGGGAAGAAAGCCUUGGGGCUAAUACCCUCGAGGAAGGACAUCACCCACAGAAGAAGCACCGGCUAACUCCGUGCCAGCAGCCGCGGUAAUACGGAGGGUGCGAGCGUUAAUCGGAAUUACUGGGCGUAAAGCGCGCGUAGGCGGUCUGAUAAGCCGGUUGUGAAAGCCCCGGGCUCAACCUGGGAACGGCAUCCGGAACUGUCAGGCUAGAGUGCAGGAGAGGAAGGUAGAAUUCCCGGUGUAGCGGUGAAAUGCGUAGAGAUCGGGAGGAAUACCAGUGGCGAAGGCGGCCUUCUGGACUGACACUGACGCUGAGGUGCGAAAGCGUGGGUAGCAAACAGGAUUAGAUACCCGGGUAGUC